CAGAGGGUUUUGAUCAUGGGCUCAGGAUGAACGCUAGUAGUAUGCUUUACACAUGCGAGUUCAAUAAUCUUUUUUAUAGCGAACGGGUGAGUAACACGUUGGAAUCCGCCUUUUAGAUUGGGACAGAUAUAGCUAUAGUUAGUUUAGGUAAAUUGUUACUCUGUUAAUACCAAAUAAUUAAAGAUUAAUUUCGCUAAAAGAGGAGCCUGCGUAAGAUUAGGUUGUUGGUAGAUUAAGAGCCUACCAAACUUACUAUCUUUAGCUGGUCUGAGAGGAUGAUCAGCCACACUGGAACUGAAACAAGGUCCAGGCUCUAUUGUGAGCCAGCAGUGAGGAAUAUUGGACAAUGAACGGAAGUUUGAUCCAGCAAUACUACAUGAAUGAAGACAGCUGAUUUGGUUGUAAAGUUCUUUCAUCAUGGAGGAUAAUGACUGUACAUGAAGAAGCAGUCCCGACUAAUCUCGUGCCAGCAGUCGCGGUAAUACGGGAGGGGCAAGCGUUAUCCGGAAUAAUUGGGCGUAAAGAGUUCGUAGGCCGUAUUUUAAGUUGAUUGUGAAAACCUAAAGCUUAAUUUUUAGGGAAUACUUUCAAAACUAUUUAUACUUAGAAUUUAAAAGAGAAUAGUGGAAUUUCACAUGAAGAGAUGGGAAUUUUGAAGAUAU
rnacentral:rRNA from 1 species